CUCGAAAGGUAUUUAGACAUGCUUAAUAGAAAAUAUAAAGAAAGUUAUUUCUCAUGGGAGAUAGGGAAUAUAAAGAUGAUCUCAAAACCUACAAUGAAAUGAUGUAAGACAUCGACUCCAAGAAAGAGAUGUGAAUUAGCUUUUCUAACAAGAUAUCUUUUGAAGAUUUCUAUAUGGAGUAGCCUAUAGAUUUUACUUCUUGUGAUAG
rnacentral:lncRNA from 1 species